ensembl:lncRNA
AAGGCUCGUGUGCAAAGGGACUACCCAUGUCAUAGCCACAGUCUAGAGCAGAGGGAAAGAAAGGCCUGCAUGAGGCUUGCUUGCUUGUGCUCAUCUAGAGCUCUCUGCUGUCAUGCAGUCUGGGACACGAGCCUAGGGAUUGGCACUACCCAAAGUGUUGUGCCUUCCAUUGUCAGUUAAGGUAAUCAAAGAGGUCCUCUACAGACAUGCUCACAGGGGACUUCAUCUAGAGGACUCCUCUGUGAAGACUCUCCCUCCAGGUCACCUCUCCUGCACUGCUUGAGAGUCUGAUUAAAGACCAUGAAUUGCUCCAGUGGCCACCACAGCUCCCAACAUUGAAAACUCUCAGACUCAGGACUAGAGGCUUCAGCUUCUCACUUUGCCUGGGCUCAAGGCUGACACCUUGUAGUGUGUUCUCUCUGCCAGCUCAGUUUCUCCCCACGUUAUACCUGACACUGUUUUCACUCAGCCAUCAGCUCAUAACUGCGAUGUCUCUACUGUGUCCUCAAGUAAUGCUUUCCAGACAUAGAUGAAGAUUCCUCAGCAGACUUCUCUGCCUUCAUUUGAUCCUUUUUUCUGUUUCCUCUGCCAGGUCCAUUUCCAGGUGUGGAACCCCUCCCUCCAAGAAAGGAUAACAAGUGGUCGGCCUCUCUGCCCUUUCCUUCUGUUACCGUGUGCUUCUUUGAGUAGGCCCAACUCAGUGCUACAAGUUUUUGCAGGUGAAGAAUCUGAAGGGUCUUUGUCAGUGCCAGUACACACAGAAGUACCUGACUUGUCUGGGAAGUGGGAGCCUUGGCCUUGGCACAGACAUGUGCUGUUCUCCUUCCUUGGAUGCCAGUCCGGAUCAUAUCUCUCCUGCAGACUUGCCUUGAUUGUUGACUUGGGGAUCCUCAAGCUCUCAGCUUACUUAGUUCUCUAAGGACAUGGCUUCCCUCAUCAGCAGAUCCAGAGCCCUCACACCAGAUGCUCUUAUUUACCUGUG